AAAAUAAAACUAAAUAAUAAAGCAUAAGUACUCCCGCAAAAAUAACGUAAAUAAUUAUGAAAACGUAAGCAACAUAAAGACAUAAAUACAGUCGCAUGCAAUACUAACAAGCAGUAACAACCAUACUAAAACACUAAUCACCUAAUCACCUAUGAACCCCUAGCCUACAAUCCUGAUUCUAGACCUCCAGACUCCCCUAUCAAGGAUCAUGUCCUCGGUAACCUGCAUAUUGGUCAUGUCCUGCCUAAUCAACUCUCCCCAAUGCUUCUUA
rnacentral:lncRNA from 1 species